rnacentral:rRNA from 1 species
ACGGGUGAGUAACACGUGAGCAAUCUGCCCCUGACUCUGGGAUAAGCGCUGGAAACGGCGUCUAAUACUGGAUACGAACCGUGGAGGCAUCUUCAACGGUUGGAAAGAUUUUUCGGUCAGGGAUGAGCUCGCGGCCUAUCAGCUUGUUGGUGAGGUAAUGGCUCACCAAGGCGUCGACGGGUAGCCGGCCUGAGAGGGUGACCGGCCACACUGGGACUGAGACACGGCCCAGACUCCUACGGGAGGCAGCAGUGGGGAAUAUUGCACAAUGGGCGAAAGCCUGAUGCAGCAACGCCGCGUGAGGGAUGACGGCCUUCGGGUUGUAAACCUCUUUUAGCAGGGAAGAAGCGAAAGUGACGGUACCUGCAGAAAAAGCGCCGGCUAACUACGUGCCAGCAGCCGCGGUAAUACGUAGGGCGCAAGCGUUAUCCGGAAUUAUUGGGCGUAAAGAGCUCGUAGGCGGUUUGUCGCGUCUGCUGUGAAAUCCCGAGGCUCAACUUCGGGUCUGCAGUGGGUACGGGCAGACUAGAGUGCGGUAGGGGAGAUUGGAAUUCCUGGUGUAGCGGUGGAAUGCGCAGA